GAUGAACGCUGGCGGCGUGCCUAAUACAUGCAAGUCGAGCGAACCACUUCGGUGGUGAGCGGCGAACGGGUGAGUAACACGUAGGUGAUCUGCCCAUCAGACGGGGACAACGAUUGGAAACGAUCGCUAAUACCGGAUAGGACGAAAGUUUAAAGGUGCUUCUGGCACCGCUGAUGGAUGAGCCUGCGGCGCAUUAGCUAGUUGGUAGGGUAAAGGCCUACCAAGGCGACGAUGCGUAGCCGACCUGAGAAGGUGAACGGCCACACUGGGACCGAGACACGGCCCAGACUCCUACGGGAGGCAGCAGUAGGGAAUCUUCGGCAAUGGGCGAAAGCCUGACCGAGCAACGCCGCGUGAAUGAUGAAGGCCUUCGGGUUGUAAAAUUCUGUUAUAAGGGAAGAACGACUUUAGUAGGAAAUGGCUAGAGUGUGACGGUACCUUAUGAGAAAGCCACGGCUAACUACGUGCCAGCAGCCGCCGUAAGAC
rnacentral:rRNA from 1 species